UAAAUAUAACUUUUAUAUGCACUGGGAACCCAAAAAAUUCGUAGGACUUGCUUUAUUGUGCUAUUUGCUUUACUGCAGUGGUUGGAACUGAACCCGCAAUAUCUCUGUGCUAUGCCUGUACUUAGAAUCCGUGCAUGGAUGAUUCAUGCUAAAUGAAAUGAUCUGAGUCUGGAUUCUGAUAUAAAAUCUGAAAUUACAAGAGUCACGAAUUAUGUUGAGAUUUAGGGACUGUUUGGUGCAAGCAAUGGAAGCAAGCUGUGGCUCUUAAGCCAAAGGGAGCAUUUUGGAGAGCUGCAGGCACAUGAUUCACAAUGGUUCCACUCAGAGGUCAGAUUGGUUUCACGUGGGUCACCUAUCCACCAUGGCCAGUAGCAAGCACACUGGGUCAAAGUGCUAACACAGUCCAGUAGGAAAGGAAUCCUUCCCGAAUGGAAUUUGACAUAGUGUUCAGAAGGGAAAUGGGCUGCUGCCCCCCUAAAGCAACAGCAACCACCAUCCCUUUAAGGGUGGAGUUAACGUAAUGUCCCACGGCAUCCGAGACUAUGACAGUCACAAGGCCUGAGUGCACCUCAUGAUUAAGAAGGGAAACACUGUAUUCUUUCAUCCUUUGCUCACCCAUGGAUC
rnacentral:lncRNA from 1 species